GGGGGAUGCAGAACUAGGUCCAGAGAAAAAGGAUGAAAGGCUUCCUAGCACAAACACCACCCCUGGAGUUCCCGGUACAUCAAUACCAGCCUGGGGAUCACGUUCUCAUCAAGAGUUGGAAGAGGGAAAGCUUGAGCCAGCUUAGGAGGACCUUAUCUGGUACUCUUGAUGAACGAAACAGCAAUCUGAAUGGCUGAAAAAGGAUGGACCCAGCAUUCCAGGGAGAAAACUUGGCAUUCUUUGGGAAUCUAACAGGAUGCAGUGAACCCAAGCCUUUUCAAGAGCUCACCAAUCAGACUGCCCUUGUCUAUCCAUGAGCAGAUGUUUGAUAGUAUUGCGGAGGACCUCUAGUGGGUAUGCUGCCAAGCAACUGGAGUGGCACUUGGGCUCUAAUCCAG
rnacentral:lncRNA from 1 species